UGUCAGUCGUGGCCUAGCUGGUCCCGAUAUCCGAUCCGUGAGGAGUGAGAGCAGUAACAGCAGUAGUAGCAGCACUUUUCAGUGUAUUAGCACACGCCAUAUUGGUUUUUGUUUCGCCCCACAAGUCGUGGAAGGUUUGGGCGCCGCACCAGCUCGCAAUUCAUGGAAAAUUGACGCCUUUUCCGUGAAGUAACUGGGUCAAUAAGAGUAGAUCUUGUUUAGUAAACCGUUUAUAACAUAGUCGAGUGGUUGCUUAGCCCAGAGUGUUUCCUUUGUCGGAAUUUACUGACGGUUUUGUUUCACCUCGGUGCUGCGCGGUUCCGAUAUAUAUCUGGUGUUUUUCUGCGUUUUUUUUUCCUUUCUCGCUGACAAUUAUGGUUCCUUUUCGUUGUCUUUUUUGUGUCCCAAUCAUAAUCAGUGCUGAAGUUUGGUGAGGUGAGGUGCCACCAGAGUGAAACGAGUUUCCCUUCGUUCUGCUGCCUUCUUUUCUUGAAUGGGAGAAAUUUUCUCACACUGUGCUGCAUGAGGAUUCGUUUUUUAUGCGGUUGGAAAAUUACCAUCGAAGAAGUUUUGGAAGUAAAAGGUUUAGAUGCGUGUGUAAAACAAGUACAUUCCAGAAUGUUUUAAACUUGAACUAGGUACUUCUUGCGAUGUGCGACUGGCAGAAGUGUUGAGUUGUCAUAAAACAGUUCAUUUUUCUGUUUGUACUUCUUGGCUUUCCUUCUGUCGGUAGAUGAAAACCAGCUUACAUGUGAAAGAGGUCGCCAACAGGCACGCAAGAUGGUGUGUAGUGGAGAAAAUCUAGUGAAACAUACGCGAAUUUAAAGCGGAAGUGAUAUUUUCCCGUAUCCAGAAGGCUCUGACAUGAUUUAAAAUAUGUAGAAGAAAAUUCCAACAAAAAGAAAUAACCAGCUUAAUAUCACGCUAAUGAUAAAGUAUUUACAAGUCAACUCAGUAGAACUGUAGAAUCGUUUGCAACUCGGUGGCAACCAGUGAAGCUUGUGGAGUACCGUCAUCGCUAUUGGAGUCCUUCAUUUCGCUUAUCAAUCACCGUCGGUAUCGUUGCAUUAUCGUCAUUAGUAACCGUACCAUUCUGUAGUAACUGAUAUUGCUCUCCAACGGAAUCGAUAGCAGGUGGGCUAGGGGCAGCAAUUGGGGAAAACGAACGGAAAAAAUCCUCACGAGACGUUGCCAUCAUCAUCGUCAUUACCAUCACCAUAAUAAUCAUCUGACCCUUAUCAGAGAUACCUUCAGCGACCAGCAAAAGCAACAGCAGCAGUAACAGCAACAACAACAACAAUAACAACAAGAGUAGCAACAAGAAUAACAACAGCAGCAGCAACUAAACUAACAACACCACAAAUUCCGAAGAGCGCAGAAAAAAGGCGAUGAGCGUGUCCGAGAGCAGCAAUGAGAGAACGAGCCAAUAAUAAUAAUCAACGAGAAGUUCAAGGAAACAACAGACACAGCGAUAUACAUGCACAUCAGCACACACAAUUGUACACUGAUAGAAAAAUUGUAGUAUAGAACAAGAAAAUUCCACGGUACAGGUCAAGUAAGAAUCUAAAUAGUUUUGUGUUUGGAAUCGAAUCAAGGCGAGCCAAAGUUUUCUUUAAAAAAAAUUAUCAUCAUUCUGCAGUCGAGUGGGAAUCGUUUUCGCCAUUCCCGUCAACACGUCCUACAGCUGAUCUGCAUCGGUUACACCAACGUCGGAUUAAAUCGGUACCAAACAAAAAAUAUCAAAGGGAAAGGCUCCAACAAAAACAGUUUUCCAAACCCGCUAGGCUAGGCUCUCUUGGGGCUGACUGUCCAGGCGAUGGCGUUUACCGGUACGAGGGCGACCGGUGUCUGCCCUGUCAGUGCGCCGGUGAUACGUUCGUAGAGCCAGAAGUUGUUUUGUGCACGAAACAACUUCGACCGCUGCUUUUCACGUUGGAAUGUCCUGUAGCGUAGACGGGCUGCCGGCGGGGUGUCGACUCCGUGGCAUGGGCUCGACCGUUCAGAGUGGUCCACUUAAUUCGGCUUUAGGUGGGACGCAGGAAGCAACAACCGAUGUUGUACCGCUACAACGACCACCUUCGCAAAAGCCGUGCUGCUUCUGCUGGUGCUGCUGCUGCUCUUGCU